rnacentral:rRNA from 1 species
AUUGACCUCGGAUCAGGUAGGGAUACCCGCUGAACUUAAGCAUAUCAAUAAGCGGAGGAAAAGAAACCAACAGGGAUUGCCCUAGUAACGGCGAGUGAAGCGGCAACAGCUCAAAUUUGAAAUCUGGCUCCUUUGGGGUCCGAGUUGUAAUUUGUAGAGGGUGCUUUGGCGUUGGUUGUGGUCUAAGUUCCUUGGAACAGGACGUCACAGAGGGUGAGAAUCCCGUACGUGGCCGCCAGCCUCCGCCGUGUAAAGCCCCUUCGAUGAGUCGAGUUGUUUGGGAAUGCAGCUCUAAAUGGGAGGUAAAUUUCUUCUAAAGCUAAAUAUUUGCCAGAGACCGAUAGCGCACAAGUAGAGUGAUCGAAAGAUGAAAAGCACUUUGGAAAGAGAGUCAAAAAGCACGUGAAAUUGUUGAAAGGGAAGCGCUUGCAGCUAGACGUGCCUUGGGUUGAUCAGCCGGACUUUUGCCCGGUGCACUCUUCCUUUGGCAGGCCAGCAUCAGUUUGGGCGGCUGGAUAAAGGUCUGUUAAACGUGACUUCCUUCGGGGAGAGCUUAUAGGGCAGACGACAUGCAGCCAGCCUGAACUGAGGUCCGCGCAUCUGCUAGGAUGCUGGCGUAAUAGCUGUAAGCGGCCCGUCUUGAAACACGGACCAAGGAGUCUAACAUCUAUGCGAGUGUUUGGGUGUCAAGCCCGAGCGCGUAAUGAAAGUAAACGGAGGUGGGAACCUUUUAGGUGCACCAUCGACCGAUCCUGAUGUCUUCGGAUGGAUUUGAGUAAGAGCAUAGCUGUUGGGACCCGAAAGAUGGUGAACUAUGCCUGAAUAGGGUGAAGCCAGAGGAAACUCUGGUGGAGGCUCGCAGCGGUUCUGACGUGCAAAUCGAUCGUCAAAUUUGGGCAUAGGGGCGAAAGACUAAUCGAC